rnacentral:rRNA from 1 species
GAAAAAGUUGGUGGUGAAAUCCCAGAGCUUAACUCUGGAACUGCCAUCAAAACUUUUCAGCUAGAGUUUGAUAGAGGAAAGCAGAAUUUCUAGUGUAGAGGUGAAAUUCGUAGAUAUUAGAAAGAAUACCAAUUGCGAAGGCAGCUUUCUGGAUCAUUACUGACACUGAGGAACGAAAGCAUGGGUAGCGAAGAGGAUUAGAUACCCUCGUAGUCCAUGCCGUAAACGAUGUGUGUUAGACGUUGGAAAUUUAUUUUCAGUGUCGCAGCGAAAGCGAUAAACACACCGCCUGGGGAGUACGACCGCAAGGUUAAAACUCAAAUGAAUUGACGGGGACCCGCACAAGUAGUGGAGCAUGUGGUUUAAUUCGAAGAUACGCGCAGAACCUUACCAACACUUGACAUGUUCGUCGCGACUUUAAGAGAUUAAAGUUUUCGGUUCGGCCGGACGAAACACAGGUGCUGCAUGGCUGUCGUCAGCUCGUGUCGUGAGAUGUUGGGUUAAGUCCCGCAACGAGCGCAACCCUCACUUUUAGUUGCCAUCAUUAAGUUGGGCACUCUGAAAGAACUGCCAGUGAUAAGCUGGAGGAAGGUGGGGAUGACGUCAAGUCCUCAUGGCCCUUACGUGUUGGGCUACACACGUGCUACAAUGGUAUCUACAACAGGAAGCAAAACAGCGAUGUUAAG